rnacentral:ncRNA from 1 species
CAGAGUAGAGAUCUAAGCGUUAAGUGCCUGACGGACGGGGAGUUGCCGUCGGGACGAAAAGGAAAUGCAUCAUGCAGGUCCUUGCGGUUUAGAUCUCGCAUCCCGCUG